UGUGCUGCAGUGAUGGUUCUGACUUUGAGUCAGACACAGUACACCAGCCUACUAAAAGAGUAGCAGCUCAAGGUUCUUCAGUAGCUCCAACAGCCAUUUCAUCAUUGAAGCGCAGCACACAAUAAAGCGUUGUCUGGAAGCUAAAGCUGGAGAAUGCAAAAGAAAAAAUUAAGUCCUUGGAGAAUGAAAGGGACUUCUUAAGGAACCAACUGUCUGAGGCUUUGGCGCUUGCAAAUAAAGAGGCCCAAGUGACAGCAGCGCCCUCCUUGCACGAAAAGAGGAUUGAAAAAUCUUCUUCAUCUUCCUCCUCCACCUCCGCCUCCUCCUCAUCCUCCUCCGACAGUUCCUCCUCUUCCUCACCAUCUUCUUCAGAAAGAGGGAAGAAGAAGAAGAGGAACAACAACAGCAAAAACAAAAAAGACAGCAAGAAAAAA